rnacentral:rRNA from 1 species
GAUGAACGCUAGCGGCAGGCCUAAUACAUGCAAGUCAAGGGGCUCAGCAAUGAGCACCGGCGCACGGGUGCGUAACGCGUACACAACCUACCCUCAAGAGGGGGAUAGCGGCGGGAAUCUGCCGGUAAUACCCCAUAGUAUUAUUGGAUCACCUGAUUUGAUAAUUAAAGUUACGGCGCUUGAGGAUGGGUGUGCGUAUGAUUAGCUAGUUGGUGAGGUAACGGCUCACCAAGGCUACGAUCAUUAGGGGGUGUGAGAGCAUGACCCCCCCACACGGGUACUGAGACACGGACCCGACUCCUACGGGAGGCAGCAGUAAGGAAUAUUGGACAAUGGACGAAAGUCUGAUCCAGCCAUGCCGCGUGAAGGAUGAAGGCGCUCAGCGUUGUAAACUUCUUUUAAAUGGGAACAAACCACCCGGUUUACUGGGUGCUGAGGGUACCAUUAGAAUAAGCACCGGCUAACUCCGUGCCAGCAGCCGCGGUAAAGUCUGUACU